rnacentral:tRNA from 1 species
AUUUAAAUAGUUUAAUAAAAACAUUGGUCUUGUAAACCAAAAAUAAGAAACGCUUCUUUUUAAAUA